rnacentral:rRNA from 1 species
UGUCGACUUGGAGGUUGUGCCCUUGAGGCGUGGCUUCCGGAGCUAACGCGUUAAGUCGACCGCCUGGGGAGUACGGCCGCAAGGUUAAAACUCAAAUGAAUUGACGGGGGCCCGCACAAGCGGUGGAGCAUGUGGUUUAAUUCGAUGCAACGCGAAGAACCUUACCUGGUCUUGACAUCCACGGAAGUUUUCAGAGAUGAGAAUGUGCCUUCGGGAACCGUGAGACAGGUGCUGCAUGGCUGUCGUCAGCUCGUGUUGUGAAAUGUUGGGUUAAGUCCCGCAACGAGCGCAACCCUUAUCCUUUGUUGCCAGCGGUCCGGCCGGGAACUCAAAGGAGACUGCCAGUGAUAAACUGGAGGAAGGUGGGGAUGACGUCAAGUCAUCAUGGCCCUUACGACCAGGGCUACACACGUGCUACAAUGGCGCAUACAAAGAGAAGCGACCUCGCGAGAGCAAGCGGACCUCAUAAAGUGCGUCGUAGUCCGGAUUGGAGUCUGCAACUCGACUCCAUGAAGUCGGAAUCGCUAGUAAUCGUGGAUCAGAAUGCCACGGUGAAUACGUUCCCGGGCCUUGUACACACCGCCCGUCACACCAUGGGAGUGGGUUGCAAAAGAAGUAGGUAGCUUAACCUUCGGGAGGGCGCUUACCACUUUGUGAUUCAUGACUGGGGUGAAGUCGUAACAAGGUAACCGUAGGGGAACCUGCGGUUGGAUCAC